rnacentral:rRNA from 1 species
AGAGCGAACGCUGGCGGCGGGCCUAACACAUGCAAGUCGAACGGACCCUUCGGGGUUAGUGGCGGACGGGUGAGUAACACGUGGGAACGUGCCUUUAGGUUCGGAAUAGCUCCUGGAAACGGGUGGUAAUGCCGAAUGUGCCCUUCGGGGGAAAGAUUUAUCGCCUUUAGAGCGGCCCGCGUCUGAUUAGCUUGUUGGUGAGGUAAUGGCUCACCAAGGCUACGAUCAGUAGCUGGUCUGAGAGGAUGACCAGCCACAUUGGGACUGAGACACGGCCCAAACUCCUACGGGAGGCAGCAGUGGGGAAUCUUGCGCAAUGGGCGAAAGCCUGACGCAGCCAUGCCGCGUGUAUGAUGAAGGUCUUAGGAUUGUAAAAUACUUUCACCGGUGAAGAUAAUGACUGUAGCCGGAGAACGACGCCCGACUAACGUUCGUACGCCGAGCACGCCGGUACGGUAACUCGUAGGACGGCCGGGUCGUCGGACCGAACGGCGACCGAAGUA